CGCGUAGGCGGCCGAGUAAGUCGCGUGUGAAAGGCCGGGGCUCAACCCCGAGCACUGCACGCGAUACUGCACGGCUAGAGAAAGGUAGAGGCGAGCGGAAUUCCCGGUGUAGCGGUGGAAUGCGUAGAUAUCGGGAAGAACACCUGUGGCGAAGGCGGCUCGCUGGGCCUUUUCUGACGCUGAAGCGCGAAAGUGUGGGGAGCAAACA
rnacentral:rRNA from 1 species